UUGCUCCUACACUGGCUGGGCUCCCAAGCAACUGACAAGCUGUAUUUCCCUGGAUAGCUGGCAAAAUAAUAAUUCAACCAUUCAUCUGUUCUGCUCUGGAAAAGCUUGUGCAAACUGGGAUGGACCACCAGGCUGCCCACGUGGAAGGACCGGCUCCCGCCGCCCUGCUGAGGGACCUGCUCCAGCCCUCCAGAAGCCUCUCCAAGAAGCUGCUUCUCCAAGACCCUGUCUGCCGUAGCACCAAGACUGUAAGUUAGCAUCACUUUACACAACCUUUGUGUUGUUGUUGGAUAAGUAUUCAGGGUUCCCAGUACAAAGACCUUGUCUGUGUUGUUCACAGCUGAGCUGGGGAAUGAACUACAAAUGGUUAUGUUGAGCUAUAUUUUCUUUUGGGCUGCUGUUGAGAAGUCCUAUGCCGUUUAGAAUCCCCAGAAUGUAUCUAUGUGGUCAUUUUCUUCCCUUCUCUCUGGAAGAGCUUAUGACCCAAUCAUUA